ACCGCCCCAGACCCGCGGCGGUAGCUAUUGCAACACUCUCGUGUCGCUCUCGUUUUCUCUCUCCCCCCGUUCUCCCUUUUUUCUCUCUUUCUCUGCUUUUCUCUCGCGUCUCCGUCGCUGGCCAAAUGAAGGGACUUGGCACUUUGAUUCCGUUUUGAGUCUUAGUUCUGUUCCCGAGAAUGUAGAAGGAACCUGGCCACGGCAACACGUUGGAGUCAGUCAGAAGUUAAGCCCAGCCGCCCCCAACCUCCCAGAAUUACCUGAGGUCGGUUGGAAAGCAAGGGGGUUUAACCUCUGCCAAAUUGUUCAGCCCGACAGUGGAUCGUGACAGACUGGUAGGAGUCUGCAAUGGAGCGAAAUGGCCAACUGGGCUUUUCCUUUGUUCCAAAAGGGGGAUCCGCCAUGUGAAUCCGCACCGUCCACUUGCGGGGAGCGCUCGGGGUGGUGUUCAUAUCUGGCACCAUGCUAGAGGACUCAUGAAGAAGGAAGACUUAAAAAAAAAAACCAAACCAACCAAACAAACAAAAUCUUAAACAAAAAAAAUGCGGACUUUUUUUCCCUUACGAUUCAGGAUCCAUCUUUGUCUUGUGUAACUAGGUCAUGGCACACCCUAUGUCAGCAGUUAACAAUUUCGAAUGCCAAAAAAACCCACUGCCAGACAAAGAUCCGUAACUAUCUUGUCAAGAUCCGCUUUGACUUGCAAACUUACGAGAGAAGUGGUGAUCCAGAUCAUAUAUUUAUAGCCGUUAUUUAAAAAAAAAAACAAACGCGUUAACUUCACCUUCAGAGCUGCUUUCAACUAUGGUGCGCGGGUAAGUAAACCCUUUUGCCCUUGCAGAGAAACAUAUAGACCAGGCCUGUGCGGCUAAUGUUAUUGUCCUGGGCGGAAAAAUCCUAAUGGUCGUCUUUAGGAGCGGUGGCGAUCUCCUUCGCCUCAGAUACAUCUAACAGCGUCUCUAAAGCGUCUAUUUUUCAGGGAGGGAUUUCUUUUUCUGCACAAAGUGCUUGGUCGUCUGCAGCCCUGGGUUUUGUUUUUGGGUUUUUGGUUUUGGCUUUUUUUUUUUUUUUUUUUGCGGAGAGACGCCGUGAAUCCAUUGCAGGCGUUACGUGGCUGUUAAAUUUGAACGCACACACACAAAAAAAAAAUCUGCCUGCGAACAGUAAGAUGUUACUGAGGUUGAUUUUUUUAAAAGGCGAAAAGGCGUUGGUGGUGGUGGUAAGGAUCCCUUACAUGUUUUAUCCGUCUAAUUACUGAAGCUCGACAAAAAAAGCAACAAAAUGGGGGGGUGUUUUUCAAGACGGUGAGUCUUAAUGGCGGAUGUAUCACUAAAAAGCACUGUAAAAUCCUUCAUACCGAGAGGCAGUGACUUGGAGAGAGGGGGGAAAAAGGAGGUCUGGAAGUAAAUGCAAAAUGAGGGAGUUUCCUUCCAAGUGAGGGACCCUUUGCAGCCUGAGUUUUACAGUUGGAGAGCCGUGACGCAGUUGAUAUUCACAGCAGUUGUGCUUUAGUGCAGCCACCCAGCCCAUUAAAUGGCCUCCCCGCCGAAGUCUGGUGGUUUUAUUAUGUGAAAGCCUGCGGAAGCACCGUGUCCCGGGCGCCGGGAAGGGCGGCUGGCAGCGGGCAGGGCGCUCCCGGUCGCGCUCCAUGUUGUGUGAGAGUAGCCGCCAUCAUGGCUUCUCCUUCGGUGCCGCGUUCUCCUCAGGGCUGGGGCGGCGGCGAGGCGGGCUCUCCCCCACUGCCUGGCGGCGCUUCGCGUCCCGAUCACUGGAGGGAAAUGGCCUUUUUUUUUGUCUUCCCCCCCCCCCCCGCCCCAGUCUCCUUUUUCCCGCCCCCCCCUUCCCCCACCACUUUGUGAGGGGUUGUGGAAGGCGAAGCCGAGGAGGGAGCGGGGCGCCUGGCAGCUUUUUCUCCCCGCGGCUGCCGCGCACAACAUGGCCGCGCCGGGGAGCGCCCUGCAGCAGCGGGAGGCAGCGCUGCGGGCGGCGGGGUUGGCGCCGCUCCAGCCCGGCCGCGGGAGGGGGGGCGGGCGCCGGCCGGGCAGGGAGGACAAAGGCAGCUCGCAUUAAUGCAGGCGAAGCCCUGGGUGCCUAUAAAUAACGCCGCCCGCCCUCGCCUUCCUCCCUUCCCCCCGCCGCAGCUUCCCGCUCGCUGGCUUUUAUAAAUGCCAAAAGAUGAAAGUAUCCUAAUGCGGGGGGGGGGGGGGGAAGAGGAACAAAUAACAGCCUUCCCCCCCCCCCAAAAAAAAAAAAAAAAAAGAAAAACACCCAGGCAGUUGUGGAGGGGGGGAAGCCAAGCAAAUGAGCAGCCGGCGCUGGCCGCGGGAGGAGCAGGGCGGCGUCGCCAGCCUCCCCGCCUGGAGCGGGCUGCGCUGCGCCCCGCCAACGCGCCGGGGGGAGCGCGGCCGCCGCUCGUCACAUGGCUCUUUGUUGUUCUCCUUCUCCUGCCCCUCCUGGGCUUCCCCCCCCCACCUCCGCCAUCGCCCAGCCGCUCCGCCGGGGCAGCCGCUGCCCUGCCUCCUCCCGCCCGCAGCCGGGGUGGGAUGGCCCGGCCCGGCCGGCCUGCAGCGCCCAGCUCUCCGGGCCCGGGCUGGCGCGGAGCCGGCUGCCGUGCUGCAGUGCGAGCCGCCAUGGCCGUCUGAGGUGUUACAUGUGCCUUUUUUUUUUUUUUCUUUUAAUUUUUUUUUGUUCUUUCCCGAGCAGAUUUUCCUGCAGCUCGCUUUGGGUGGAGGCGUGGGGGUUAUUUCGGAGCUUCACAAGCCUCGCUGUGCUCUGCGGGGAGCUGCACCUUGUGCUCCACUGCAGACCCAAAUUAGGUGAGCUAGGAAAGCCUGGCUUGAGCAACCACUUCAGAGGGCAGGACAGGGAGGAAAAGCAAACACUUGUAGAGAGGUGGCCUCCCUGGUAAGGCUAGAGCAGGACCGUCCUGCGGACCCUGUGGGAGGGAGAAGGUAAGUGGCUACUUGGCAGAGGCUGCCUGCGGGAGCGGCAUGUGCCGGGCAGGGUGCGCCCUGCUCGCCAGUUCCUGCGGCUCAGGACCAGCCGCUCCGUGGGUUUGUAAAACCUGUGCUGUGGUAUGUGCCGAGGCUCAGGGGUGUUUUCCUGCGAGGGAGCAGGGUGCUGCCGCGAAGGAGGCACCGCAGCCUGCGCCUUUCGCAACGACGCGAGGGAUUACGCUCAUCUCUUCAUUUCUUGUUCCCCCCCCCCUUCCUCCCCCCCCCCCCGGGUCAGGCUCUGUCGAGAACAAGCGAGAAACCGUCCGCACAAAACAUAACACGUAUCCAUGGAAGGGAAAAUAAAAAAAAUGUCUGCGCACUGCCAGGCUGGCUUUAAAACGCUUCCUCUGCGCCCCUCUCUCGGGGCCGCGGCGCUCGGAGCCAUGGCUCGGACCGCCCGGUCCCUGCGAGACGCGCCUUCCCCGGCCAGACCAGCUCUGAGCGCCUGGCCCUUGCUCCUGCCAGCAGGGUAACUGCCUUCCUGGUUUACAAUUGCUUUAAAUAAUAAUCUGCUAAUAAACUUGGAAGAAACGGUGACGUUAUUCUUAGCUAAACACCAUUAAAAUGUGCUUCCACUAUUUCUCAAUAGAGGUGAAAAGCGUUUCAGCUUCCUGGAAAUGGCCGAAACAGGCGACGUGUAGAUCAAAGUACGGUGUAGAUCUGGGCUCGGUUUAUGCAGGGGUUUUUUGAACUGUAAUGAAAACGUUUCUGCAGCUUGCAUCAUAAUGAGUUAAGUCAGCACGUAAAGUGAUUUAGAAAAAGCAGAUUUAAACGGCGUCGGCUAUUAACUUUCCUGGGAUUUAAAAUUUCUGUUUAAAUACCUAUUUGGGUAUUAGUAAUAUCUGCAUUGAAACCUUAACGUUGGUCUGUUUAACCCUGAAGCAAACUAGGGUAUGCCUAACACAGGCUUUGAACAGAUUCAGCCAGACCAUAAUACUGUGGGAGCUUAGACAGCUUUGUCUGUACUUGCACCUCUCUGCGCAUUUUUCCAGGACUAUGAUCUUUGUCUGCAAUUAAUCAUUGUUCAGGACGGCCGUUGCCGAUGGUAGAAUCCAUGAACUGCUCCAGCUGGGAGAGGUCCUAAAGCGUGUGCCUGGCGCCGCGUACGUGCAGACCAGGGCCAGAAAUUGCUGGGGCAGCAGGCGUUGUACAGGGAGCCCGCUUUGCGGACCCAGUGAAUUGUGUGGGUCCUCAGCACUUCUGGAAAUUGUUUUUCUAAGUCUGAGCUGAAAAUUUAUUUCCGUUUUUUAAGAGUUUCUAAAUGACUAUAAUGUUCAAUGUAGUUUAAAAGUCAUCAAGGCAGUUGAGACCGGUUGCACUCCCGGAGUGGGUGGUUUCAUGGCUGAACCUCGUAUCUGAAAAGCUAAAUGUUCUGGUACGGCGUGUUUAAAUCCCAGAAAGGUCAAACCAGACUUUCAUACUUGAGUUAGAUUGACCCUGGUUUACUGCAUGAGACUCUCUGGAGGAAGAAAGAGAUCUUUCAGGGGAAAGGGGAGGGGAAAAAAAAAGUGUUUUUUUUUUCUCUCUGAACAGCUUGUGGUGACUCUCUGCACAUUCUUGAAGCAAAGGGGUUUGUUCUUGCCCACAGUGUCCCUCCCCUGCAUUGUGGAGUGGAAAACUCUUAUGCUAAUUAUGUCACUGUCUGUUAUCAAUAAGAAGUGAUUUAAUUUCUUUGGCCAAGUGUUGCAACAAGAGCAAAUUAGAUUGAGAGCCAAGUGAAAUGAAAAAUAUGCAGCUGUUCUGCCAAACAAUGAUCGUGACUGCUUACAACAUUUUGUUUUAGACUGGCUUGUACACAGAAUCCUUUAUAUUGAAGGUUUUCGUGUCACAAUCCACUGCUUGUGCAAGGAAACUAGAUUAAUAGAUUAUAAAGGACAAAAGAGACCUAGGUUCAUCUGGUUCAACUUCCUGCAUUAUGCAGGUCAUGAGAUUUUUGCGAAUUUGUUGCUUUUUCUCAUUUCAAAUAAUUUAACUACAGCAUUCCUGCAUCUUAGAAAAAUAUCAGAUUUUCAUUUUAAAAUGGGUUGUGAGAGAGAGUAAAAUAAGAGUUAGUAAACUGUUUCCAUCAAAAUCUACCUGACAGACUAGAAAUCAACAUACUUUUCUAAACUUGUCUAGUUUCUGCUUUCGGUUUCUGGAUGUUGCUGUAUCUCAGCCUGCUUGACGGAGGAACUCUCCAUUAUCAGAUUUCCGUCCCCGUGUAGCUGUGUACAGGCUGUUUAGCUGAGCAUUUAACACUCCCAUCGCAGACUUGCAGAGCUCCCCCUUGGGUCCAUCUUUGCUAAUCCUGUAAUAGUUCUGUUGCGGUUUCCUAUGAACACUCCAGUGUUUCACUAUUUCGGUCUAGGCAGAAGGGGACAGAGCGAUCAGCAGUGAUUGUACCCGUGCCAGCAGCCCCCCUGGCUGAGGUGUCUCUGUCAGGCAUCGAGGGAUUACACCAGCCGUGUUCAGCUGGUUUCCCAGCAUGGCUCCUAAAAUACUCUCAGACCUGCUCCUUCUUGGGAUGGCAUCCCUGUCCCAUUGGUUUGUGCUCUUUGUUCGGAAGGUACAGCUUCACACUUGGCCCUCUUGAAAAGGGCAAGUCCUUAGGCAGCAUUGCUGCUUGCAAUGGCUUUUUUUUUUUUUAAUACCCCUUCCUGCUACUGUUGAGUGUUGCCUACAAACUUGAUUGGUAAUGAUUAUUACCAAUUAUAUUUUCAUCCAGAGAAACAACUGCUUCUGUCUCCACUGUAGGAGUUUCCCGGUUCCGGGUGUGUGCACACCUCAGCUGUGUCAAUAUUGUGUCAGGAGGAGGUCUGAAUGUACACCGUCCUCUUGCCACACCCCAGUUUUGUGGGAAGAAAGCCCAGUUUAGGAGCUGGAAGGGAGCCAGGAGGCACGCUGCGGCAUUUCCCUGCCCUGGUGUCUAUAACAUAGCCAGUAAAUAUGUAGGGCCCAAAACAGGUAGUUGCAGGACCCAUAAAAGAAAGAUGACAGCUCUAGGACAUAGUGGUUACAACUGCAUUUUGAGACCUUCCUGCUAGAUGGAUUCUAAUCCAAUUGAUUAUGCCUUCUUGCUCUCAUAAUCCCGUAAAUGCUUCACAGGCGUUGAAGUAUGGCACAUGAGCCCUCUUGCAGAAAUCGUCUAUUAGUGCUAUUACCAUUUACCACUGAACCUUAAAAUUUCUUGGAAGUUUCUCUGUCAGCAGCUAAACUCAUGAAGCUUUGUCUCCCAUGGAUUUGUGUCUGUAAAUGCCCCCGACAAAUAUUCCAGCUCUUACCCAGUCUUGCUUGCCCUGUCUGGCUGAGCAAGCGGUAACAUGCUGACUGGGAGCUCCACAGGGGCCAAGCCAGCAGCAGUACUGCCCCUCGGUAUGGGCAAGGGCUGGAUUCUGCCUGCCUUUCCGCGACACUACGGUGGUGCCUAUACUACAUAUUCUAAUCAGCUGUUCAUUCAAGACCUAAAUACGUUUGGGACUUCUUCCCCACUGCCAAAUUUGAUUGAGAUUGGAGGAAGGAGAGGAAAAAUUACAUAGAACAACACAGUCACAUUAGGCUGGUUUAUUUUUAGGAAACCAGGCUAAGAAUAUCAAAGGAAUAUUGAGUGGGAAUAUGGACAGGGUAUUUGCGUGUUCAGUUUAUUUGCCAUUAAAUUUUUCAUUUCUUCCUAAGAACAGCAGAUGAUCUGUCUAGGGAAUUUCUCAGCCAAAAUAAGCAACCUCCUGAUGGAUUUCACCUGUGUCCCAGCAUGCUCUGAGGAUGCAUGGGAUGUAAGCAUUGAACAAUGAUGGGGAAUUACUGCUCUGCUGUGUUGUUUGGCUGCCUGGGUGCAAAGAGGAGUAUGGUGAUACCCAGUAUUGGAAUAAACAUUUAUUUUGAUUAAGAUCCAUACAACUUUCGAUGGACAUGUUGGAUAUUUGCCACGGCUGGGUUUUUUGGUUUCUUUUUAAACUGUAUCUGUCCACUGUAUUUCUGCUAGUUUUAUGACAAAAGCCACCUGUGUAAGAUAGGUAGUGAGUGCUUUCAGAGAUCUAAUAAUUUGUGAGCUAUAAACAAAUAAAGAAGCUGUUUCAAGACUUGA